AGAGUUUGAUCCUGGCUCAGGAUGAACGCUAGCUACAGGCUUAACACAUGCAAGGUCGAGGGGCAGCAUGACCUAGCAAUAGGUUGAUGGCGACCGGCGCACGGGUGAGUAACACGUAUCCAACCUGCCGAUUAUUCCGGGAUAGCCUUUCGAAAGAAAGAUUAAUACUGGAUAGCAUAACGAGAAGGCAUCUUCUUGUUAUUAAAGAAUUUCGAUAAUCGAUGGGGAUGCGUUCCAUUAGUUUGUUGGCGGGGUAACGGGCCCACCCAAGACAUCGAUGGAUAGGGGUUCUGAGAGGAAGGUCCCCCCACAUUGGAACUGAGACACGGUCCAAACUCCUACGGGAGGCAGCA
rnacentral:rRNA from 1 species